GUUCAGGAGCUCCAGUCUCAGCGCUCAGUCUGCUCAGCAGUUUAAUGGCAGUGUCUCCAUAUUUGCUGGUGACCAUCGUGCUGGGGGUCAAAUGCUACAGAGCUCGAGCUAAACCUGAUGAGCAGAGCAGAACAUAAGCAAUGAUGGAAGCUGAAACAUCUUGAGUGCUGAAUGCCAGGAACUCCUGGUUUGGGUUUUAAGGAGUGAAGACAGAAAAGGACCUGAAUACAUUUAGACUGUCAGAAUUAUUUUUAGAAGAAGA